CAUGAGAGACAUGUAAGAGUUUUAAUCAUGGAGUGCAGUAGACUAGCUGGGACGUCUGUGACAGCUUGAUUUCUUCCACAUCUCAGAUUUCCACAGUGUACCCCGGUGUUUUCUCACCUUCAGUCACUCAUAGGCAUCUUAGGUGAGGAAGCUGAGAACCAGAUAGAUUCAUCCAGUGUCCUAGGACACACAGUGAGUCAUGCUUCGGAUCUGUGCUCCUAGCUGAUGCCUCCCAUUACUGGUAGUCCUUUCCUGCUCC
rnacentral:lncRNA from 10 species